rnacentral:rRNA from 1 species
ACACGACUCUCGGCAACGGAUAUCUCGGCUCUCGCAUCGAUGAAGAACGUAGCGAAAUGCGAUACCUGGUGUGAAUUGCAGAAUCCCGCGAACCAUCGAGUCUUUGAACGCAAGUUGCGCCCGAGGCCACUCGGUCGAGGGCACGCCUGCCUGGGCGUCACGC